UGAAAUGCGAUAACUAGUGUGAAUUGCAUUAUCUCGUGAAUCAUCGAGUCUUUGAACGCAUCUUGCACCUUCCCGGUCUCCUGGAAGGUAUGCUUGUUUGAGUAUCAUGUACACACACCGCUCCUGGGCGCCUUGUGCGCACCCGGGAAUUGAGGCGUCAAGCGGCGCCGCCGCCUGUGCCUUGCAAGCGAUUGCGCAGCCGCGCCUGCCGCCAAAUGUGAGAUAGACAUCGCACAGAGUAGCGCAGGCGCAGUGGCUGCCACCACCCACCCGCGCAGCGCUAACGCGGUGCAGCCGGGACCCCUCUAGAUUGUGUGAUCUCAAAUCAAGCAAGACUACCCGCUGAACUUAA
rnacentral:misc_RNA from 1 species